UCACUGAACUCCCAGUAGCAAGUACGAGGCUCCCAUCACGAACCUUCUCCUUCAGAGACCCCGAUCCUUUGUCAUUGUGUACCACCAAGAAACCCUAGAUCGAUCGGCAUAGUUACAGAAUUGUAUGAUAAAGUGGUCCUCUCUACGAUAUUCAUCCCGAACUUCUGAUGUAGCGCUCUCGAUGGUCAAUUUCUCUUAUAGGAGUCUUCAUUCCGGCUUCUUCCGGUCUCUCUCUCUCCCCCCUUCUCUCUCUCUCUCUGCGUGUCUACCUCUCUAUCUCUCUCUCUGCCUUUCAUCUCUCCCUAGAUGCGUAUGUAAAAUUUAUGGUUUUGCUCCUAGUGGAAAUUGCCAUAACGUAGUGCAGAGCUGGAAAUCUGUGGUGGCUCGCGGUAUUAAGAUUUUCCAACACGCUCAGGAUUAGAAUCCACAGUAUUGACAAUGGGGCAAUCUAUAAGAGGAAGACGGAAAGGACGGCAUGGACGCCAUGGAAAAGCAUCAAUAGGUGAAGGCAGAAGCACACAGGCACUACCUCCAGUAUUGAAUCUACGAGAUAAUGAAGUGGACGCAUCAUCAAAUGAUCCCACUCAAUCACCAUAUGUUGGCCUAGAUUAUACCAUGGAUGAUGCUAAUGAGGCCCAUAGGAGUGUAGAUAUUGAAGGAUUAGAAUCCACAGUAUUAACAAUGGGGCAAUCUAUAAGAGGAAGACGGAAAGGACGACGUGGAUGCUAUGGAAAAGUAUCAAUAGGUGAAGGCAGAGGCACACAGACACUACCUCCAGUAUUGAAUCUACAAGAUAAUGAAGUGGACGCAUCAUCAAAUGAUCCAACUCAAUCACCAAAUGUUGGCCUAGAUUAUACCAUGGAUGAUACUAAUGAGGCGCAUAGGAGUGUAGAUAUUGAAGGACUAAUAUCCACAGUAUUGACAAUGGGGCAAUCCAUAAGAGGAAGACGGAAAGGAAGACGUGGGCGAUGUGGAAAUGUAUCAUUAGGUGAAGGUAGAGGCACACAGGCACAACCUUCAGUAUUGAAUCUACGAGAUAAUGAAGUGGACACAUCAUCAAAUGAUCCAACUCAAUCACCAAAUGUUGGCCUAGAUGAUAGGAUGGAUGAUGCUAGUGAGGCCCAUAGGGGUGUAGAUAUUGAAGAUAUGCCCACUCGAAAACGUGGUCGGGGACCAGCAAAGGGCACGGAGUUUGAACGCCUCCGUAAAUUUGGAAAGAUACCCUUAAAUAUUAAGGAUGGACAAAGAGGUCCCUCAUGCGAAAAUUACAACGUCUUUUCUGGACGAGUGACAUCGAUUGUGAGACUUCAUGCCAACAUGAGACAUGCAAGCUGGACCAUGGUAGACAAAGAGGAGAAAGAUGAGCUCAUCAACCAUGUUCGGGCUGACUUUGUAUUGGAUUGGACACAAAGUUCCCACCGUGAGUGUGUGACAAACACUCUUGCUCGAAAGUACAAUGCAUUCCACUACAUACUACGCAAGGUAUAUCUGGGGUAUGAAACGCACGAAGCGGCGCUUUCUGGUGGGACAACCUUGGUGGAGAAGCCCGUAUGGGAAGCGUUAUGUGAAAGGUGGUCAAGCCAAGGCUUCAAGAAGCUGUCAAAGAGAAAUAGAAAAAAUAGGCAAAAACAACAGAUCAACCACACAGGUGGCAGGAAGUCUUUUGUUAGGAUUAUGGAGGAAAAGCACGAACAAGCCCCAAAUUUGGUAGCUUUCUAUAAAGAAGUGCAUUGGUCAAAGAAGAAGGGUAGAUUUAUUAGCGAAACAGCAGAACGCAAUUAUAAUCUGAUGGUUGAGAGGUUGAAUGAGAGGGACCUGGAUGAGAACGUCGAUGAAGCAGCUAAUGCGGUGUUCAAGGAGGUUUUAGGACAGCGAUCAGGUUAUGCAAGAGGUCUAGGCUACUCUGUUACACCUGAACCAUCUCUUUCAUUGCGCAACAAUAGGGAUUAUCAGUGCAUUAGCAAGGAGAAUGAGAAGAACAAGAUUAAUGCUGAUCUAUACAAGAGCCAGCUUGAGGCAUUGAAGACUGAAUUACAUGAAUUCAGGAGCCAGUUUCAAGACUUUGAGAAACAGAUGAACACUCGCUUGACGGAAUUGCAGUCUCAGAGGGAGUCUCAUAAAGAGACUCCAGUCGAUGUCUAGAAAUCCUUUUGUAUGACAUGAUGCACUUUUUUUUCUUUUAUUUGAGCUUUUGAAAAAGGUUGAUCGGCCAUUUGAUGGGGAUGAUGUCAUUGUUGGUCGCUUUUGUUGAGUAAGUUAGGAUGUGGCAAGAAAGUGACAGGAAGGACAUACAGCCUAUAUCACCCGACAGGAAUUGUCACAAUUUUUCUCACUCACUACCCUGUGAAGCUCUCUCAAAUUGCAAGUCUCUAGGCAGAAUAGGUAUGGAAAGAGACUACUGCUAAAGACACAGGACUGCCCGAGGGAGUUGAUGAAUUCUAUCUCAAGAGUUCAAGCCAAGACCGCUACUGCUGGCAUGAAGUAAUUGCAUCUGUAUGUAUGAACCAGAUGAAGUUACUUUAAUUUGCACAUGCAAUUCUUGCUUUUUAUUUACAAUGGCUGAUAGUCUAACCAUGUUUCAUUGUUAAGUACUAUUUUCAUGUGCAUCAUGUUUAGUGUUGACGGAACUAAUAUAUAAAUAUGUGAAGUGCUUUAGCCAA